rnacentral:tmRNA from 1 species
GGGGGCGUAAAGGUUUCGACGGGGAUUGCGAACCUGAGUAAGCGAGCAGCGGUGCGGGCCCGCUAUAAAAACCGCAAAUCAAAAAAUAAACGGCAACGAACCUGUUGCGUACGCAGCCUGAUUAGGCUGCCGUCCUUACCCGGAGUACCGCGGCCGGGAUAAGGGCGUCGACUAGCGGUGAACGUGAAUAAAGGGGAGCCGUACCCUUUAUCACGAACUAAACGGCUACCGUAACCGGAUGUCUGUCUGUCGGCGUCAGGUGAGGGGAAUCUAAAACGACAGACUGCGCUCGGAGAAGCCUCAGGCAAGCGGUUUUCGGACGGGGGUUCAACUCCCCCCGCCUCCACCA